rnacentral:rRNA from 1 species
AGUAAUACAUCGGAACAUGUCCAUUCGUGGGGGAUAGCCCGGCGAAAGCCGGAUUAAUACCGCAUACGCCCUGAGGGGGAAAGCGGGGGACCUGCAAGGGCCUCGCGCGAAUGGGUUGGCCGAUGUCCGAUUAGCUAGUUGGUGGGGUAAAGGCUUACCAAGGCGAUGAUCGGUAGCUGGUCUGAGAGGAUGAUCAGCCACACUGGGACUGAGACACGGCCCAG